UACGGGGGGAGCAAGCGUUGUUCGGAUUUACUGGGCGUAAAGGGCGGGUAGGCGGCCACCGCAAGUCAGUUGUGAAAUCUCUGGGCUUAACCCAGAAAGGUCAACUGAUACUGCGGGGCUAGAGUGCAGAAGGGGCAACUGGAAUUCUCGGUGUAGCGGUGAAAUGCGUAGAUAUCGAGAGGAACACCAGUGGCGAAGGCGAGUCCCUGGGCAGUAACUGACGCUGAGAAGCGAAAGCGUGGGGAGCGAACAGG
rnacentral:rRNA from 1 species